UGAGUAACCUGCCCUUAACUCUGGGAUAAGCCUGGGAAACUGGGUCUAAUACCGGAUAUGACUCCUCAUCGCAUGGGUGGGGGGUGGAAAGCUUUAUUGUGGUUUUGGAUGGACUCGCGGCCUAUCAGCUUGUUGGUGAGGUAAUGGCUCACCAAGGCGACGACGGGUAGCCGGCCUGAGAGGGUGACCGGCCACACUGGGACUGAGACACGGCCCAGACCUCCUACGGGAGGCAG
rnacentral:rRNA from 1 species